GUGAAUCAUCAAAUUUUUGAACGCAUAUUGCACUCUCUGGUAAUCCGGAGAGUAUACCUGUUUGAGGGUAAUCAAAAAGAUUCUUUAACCACUUUUUUUUUGGUCAAAGGAAAUGAGUACUCCGCGAUUAUAGCGGUAGCUUGAAAUAAAUGGUCAAGUCUCUUUUUAGUUGAGACGCGUAAUAAUAUUAUUUCGCG
rnacentral:misc_RNA from 1 species